rnacentral:rRNA from 1 species
GAUGAACGCUAGCGGGAGGCUUAACACAUGCAAGUCGAGGGGCAGCACGAGGUAGCAAUACUUUGGUGGCGACCGGCGCACGGGUGAGUAACAGGUAUGCAACUUACCCUGUACCGGGGGAUAACCCGGAGAAAUUCGGACUAAUACCCCAUAAUAUUAUUGGGAGGCAUCUUUUAAUAAUUAAAAUUCAGAUGGUACAGGAUGGGCAUGCUCAACAUUAGCUAGUUGGUAGGGUAACGGCCUACCAAGGCUACGAUGUUUAGGGGGCCUGAGAGGGUGAUCCCCCACACUGGUACUGAGACACGGACCAGACUCCUACGGGAGGCAG